ensembl:lncRNA LOC102555670 uncharacterized LOC102555670
GCAGGUGCCCGCAGCUCACAUCUUAGAUCGUUGAUAGCCCGAGGGUCUAAUGCCUCAGCAGUGACUCCUAAAGGACAGAGUGGAGUGGAAACUUAAGGGUUCCUUGGAAAGUCAGUUGUGCUGGAUGCGUGAAAAGACCUGUGAGGAAGAAUUCUUCACUAACAACACACAUGUGUCGGUCUGCCUUACACUGUGCAGUUAGUCGAGCUCCAUUUGUUGGGACUCCAUAGAGAAAAACACAGAACCCGUGCUGAGGCAAGACACAUGCGUCACGUGGCCCUGAACAAAGGCGGUGAACUUUAUCCGGCAGUAACCUAAUCUCCUGGAUCGUUUACCAACAACACUCAGAGUGAUCUCCGGGAUUACCUUGGGCUUUGGCCAGCACCAGGGAGACUGGGCUGAACAGAAGUUUCUGGCUCUGUGUGGACCACGUUCUCUCCUAGCGUCAGAGCUUUCCUCAGAGUUCUGUGAGAGCAGUGUUAACUGUGGACAGUCCUGGACUCACAUCACCCCAGUUUGUUGCCUCAGAAGACAAAACUCUCCCAGGAUCUUGAGAUGGAUCGAGAUUGAGAGUCCUGAGUUCAGAGCUCUUAAUGGAACGGGCAAAGUUCUAAGGAGAGAAGCUAUGGAGAUGGGGAAAGGAAACUCAGGUGGAGCAGAGAUGGAGGCACAAGCCAAGGCCUCUUCCUGUUAGGAUCAGUUGGUUAUGGCGGCCCCAGGAGAUGAAUGUAUGAGGAGCUCACACCAAAUGAGAGGACUGGAGAGAGGGCCAAGUCUUUUUAAGCCCAAGAAGGAACCUGAAGGUUUCUCUCCCCGGCCAUGAAUGCUGCGCUCCAGGCACUGCUGCAGCACGGACUGCCGAGGAGCUCCGCACAGCAGACACCACCCCCACUUAAGAAUUAAAAGCAUUGUUUUUGAAAAAAAGGAAAUCAACUUUAUUUUCUCUACAUUAAAAAAAAAUAGAACCAGC